rnacentral:rRNA from 1 species
CGGGUGAGUAACACGUGAGCAACCUGCCUUUCAUGGGGGACAACAUUUGGAAACGACUGCUAAUACCGCAUAAGCCCACGGCUCGGCAUCGAGCAGAGGGAAAAGGAGCAAUCCGCUUUGAGAUGGCCUCGCGUCCGAUUAGCUAGUUGGUGAGGUAACGGCCCACCAAGGCGACGAUCGGUAGCCGGACUGAGAGGUUGAACGGCCACAUUGGGACUGAGACACGGCCCAGACUCCUACGGGAGGCAGCAUG